AAAGUCGUAACAAGGUUUCCGUAGGUGAACCUGCGGAAGGAUCAUUAUAGUAUAUGGAAUCUCCAUUCUAUAAACACCAUCUGUGUAUUUUUUACCUGUUGCUUCCAUGGGCCUUGAGCCUCGCGUUUGCAUCGGCUGAAUGGCUGGUGAGCGCCCAUGGAAGGAAAACAAUAACUCUCUUUUAUGUGAAUUAAGUCUGAACAUGUUUUAUAUAAACGUUAAAACUUUCAACAACGGAUCUCUUGGUUCUC
rnacentral:misc_RNA from 1 species